UCCCCUACGGGACGCAGCAGUGGGGAAUAUUGCACAAUGGGGGAAACCCUGAUGCAGCAACGCCGCGUGAGUGAUGACGGCCUUCGGGUUGUAAAGCUCUGUCUUCAGGGACGAUAAUGACGGUACCUGAGGAGGAAGCCACGGCUAACUACGUGCCAGCAGCCGCGGGAAUACGUAGGUGGCGAGCGUUGUCCGGAUUUACUGGGCGUAAAGGGCGCGUAGGCGGUUUAAUAAGUCAUUGGUGAAAACUGAGGGCUCAACCCUCAG
rnacentral:rRNA from 1 species